AGCAUGUGGUUUAAUUCGAAGCAACGCGAAGAACCUUACCAGGUCUUGACAUCCCGAUGCUAUUUCUAGAGAUAGAAAGUUACUUCGGUACAUCGGUGACAGGUGGUGCAUGGUUGUCGUCAGCUCGUGUCGUGAGAUGUUGGGUUAAGUCCCGCAACGAGCGCAAUCCCUAUUGUUAGUUGCCAUCAUUCAGUUGGGCACUCUAGCGAGACUGCCGGUAAUAAACCGGAGAAGUGGGGAUGACGUCAAAUCAUCAUGCCCCUUAUGACCUGGGCUACACACGUGCUACAAUGGUUGGUACAACGAGUUGCGAGUCGGUGACGGCGAGCUAAUCUCUUAAAGCCAAUCUCAGUUCGGAUUGUAGGCUGCAACUCGCCUACAUGAAGUCGGAAUCGCUAGUAAUCGCGGAUCAGCACGCCGCGGUGAAUACGUUCCCGGGCCUU
rnacentral:rRNA from 1 species